GGGGGUGUAGCUCAGUUGGGAGAGCACUUGCUUUGCACGCAAGGGGUCGCAGGUUCAACUCCUGUCAUCUCCA
rnacentral:tRNA from 2 species